rnacentral:rRNA from 1 species
GGUGGCUGGGCGCAGCCUGAUCAGCCAUGCCGCGUGGAUGAUGAAGGCCCUAGGGUUGUAAAAUCCUUUCGUUGGGGACGAUAAUGACGGUACCCAAAGAAGAAGCUCCGGCUAACUUCGUGCCAGCAGCCGCGGUAAUAA